CCCCACAUUACCAUGGGAACUGUCUGUUGUGACUGAAGCCCUUCCUAGGUGUGGAAAAGCAUUGCCUUGCUUCUCUCAAACUGCCUGAGGUGUCAUCGCCAUCUCGGACAAUAUGGAAGCAAGAUACAGUUCUAAAUCGAAAAUUAAUGAAAGCAUCC
ensembl:snoRNA